rnacentral:tRNA from 3 species
GGGCGCAUGGCUCAGCUGGUAGAGCGUUGCAUUCACAUUGCAAAGGUCUCAGGUCCGAAUCCUGAUGCGCCCA